rnacentral:rRNA from 1 species
CGCUGGCGGCGUGCCUAACACAUGCAAGUCGAGCGGACUACAUGAAGGGGUAACUCUUCAUGUAGUUAGCGGCGAACGGGUGAGUAACACGUGGGUAACCUACCCUCAGGUGGGGGAUAACUCGGGGAAACCUGAGCUAAUACCCCAUAAGACUACGGGCUGAAAGGCUUGUAGUAAAAGAAGCAAUUCGCCUGAGGAUGGGCCCGCGGCCUAUCAGGUAGUUGGUAGGGUAAUGGCCUACCAAGCCUAUGACGGGUAGCCGAGCUGAGAGGCUGGCCGGCCACACUGGGACUGAGACACGGCCCAGA